rnacentral:snoRNA from 1 species
AAUUCUCAUGAAUACAUAUAUAGUCGUAUUGUCUGCAUAGACAGAAAUAUUAUCACACCGGUUUGAGUUGGUUCAUCUAAUUUUUUCUAAUUUGGAUUGAUAUAGAAGUGUGUGAACAUAU